GUUUGGGGGAGAGUUAGUAUUAGUCCUUACCUGACACCUGAAGGCAAUAUUGUCUGUCCUUGUGGGAGUUGAUAAUUCCUCCAGGCACUGGUCAGCUACCUAAACGGGAGUGCUGUGUGCAUGGGAAAAAUCAAAGGACUCGCAGGGACUUCAACCCAGUUAAAACAGGAUCCUUGGAUUCACCACAGGAAAGAAUCUCUGGGCAGCACAGUAUGAAGCAGAGUUGGGGGUCUAUUAAGAGACGGUAGCUAAAGCCUCGUGCUGUCUAACAUUCCCAUUGAGCAACACUGGAGCCUUUGUUUCACAGCCCAGAGACACC
rnacentral:lncRNA from 1 species